GAAAACAAUACACCGAAUUAGCAAUAUAAUUUCAGGAGAAGACACACCACUUACUUAACACAGUAGUUUCUUCAAUUUGUCAUAGCCUUAAGGAAAAGGAAAUUCUUAUCUGGGGGGUUGGAUUGUGUCCACCAAAAAGAUAGGAUCAGUUCUAAACUCUAGUACCUGUAAUUAUGAGCUUAUUUGAAAUAGGUUCUUUGCCUGUGUAAUCAGGUUAUGAGGGAAAUCAUAACGGAGGUUGAAUGUUCAUCUAAUGACUGAUACCAUCUUAAGAAGAAGGAAAUUCGUAUACAGAGACAGAGAGAGAAGGCCAUGUGAAGACAAGUAGAGAUGGGAAUGAGGUGUCUAUGAGCCAAAGAAUGCCAAGGAUUGCCAGCAAUCACCAGAAGCUACAAGAGAAGCAUGGAACAGAUUCUCCCCCAGAGAAUUCAGAUACUUGCCAAGACUUUUGGACUUGAUUUUGGACUUUUGGCUUUCAGAGCUAUGAAAGAAUAAAUUUGUUUCAAACCACCCAGCUUGUGAUAAUUUGUUAUGGCAGCCCAAGAGAAUUAAUGAAUCCAGCAUAUCCCAUUUUGAUAACAAAUGGCUUGUCUAAAGAUAAGCUCCAACUGCCACCCCUUAUCCAAUCUUAUCCAAUCUCUUCCAUCCUUGAGCAAGGGUUUCAGGAGAAAAAAGAAAAGUAUUAAAUGAGACAUCACCAUUACUAUGAUUCUUACUGUCACAGCAUGAGUAAAGAAAGUAUUUCCAGCAAGGAUAAGGUAAGUGGCUAUGUUGGUUUCCUGGGACAAUAAUCCAGUAGUCCCCCCUUAUUCACAGUUUUGUUUUCUGUGCUUUUAUUUACCCAAGGUUAAUUGCAGUCCAGAAAUGCAUCCUCCUCCUGAGUGUACAUAGCUUGACAAAUGUUACUUAGCACUACAUCAUAAUGCCUACGUCAU
rnacentral:lncRNA from 1 species